AGUGAACGCUGGCGGUAGGCCUAACACAUGCAAGUCGAACGGCAGCACAGUAAGAGCUUGCUCUUACGGGUGGCGAGUGGCGGACGGGUGAGGAAUACAUCGGAAUCUACUUUUUCGUGGGGGAUAACAUAGGGAAACUUACGCUAAUACCGCAUACGACCUACGGGCGAAAGCAGGGGAUCUUCGGACCUUGCGCGAUUGAAUGAGCCGAUGUCGGAUUAGCUAGUUGGCGGGGUAAAGGCCCACCAAGGCGACGAUCCGUAGCUGGUCUGAGAGGAUGAUCAGCCACACUGGAACUGAGACACGGUCCAGACUCCUACGGGAGGCAGCAGUGGGGAAUAUUGGACAAUGGGCGCAAGCCUGAUCCAGCCAUACCGCGUGGGUGAAGAAGGCCUUCGGGUUGUAAAGCCCUUUUGUUGGGAAAGAAAAGCAGCAGGUUAAUACCCCGCUGUUCUGACGGUACCCAAAGAAUAAGCACCGGCUAACUUCGUG
rnacentral:rRNA from 1 species